GUAGUCCACGCCCUAAACGAUGUCGACUAGGUGUUCGGGAAGGAGACUUCUUGAGUACCGCAGCUAACGCGUGAAGUCGACCGCCUGGGGAGUACGGUCGCAAGAUUAAAACUCAAAGGAAUUGACGGGGACCCGCACAAGCGGUGGAUGAUGUGGAUUAAUUCGAUGCAACGCGAAAAACCUUACCUACCCUUGACAUGCCUGGAACCUUGGUGAGAGCCGAGGGUGCCUUCGGGAGCCAGGACACAGGUGCUGCAUGGCUGUCGUCAGCUCGUGUCGUGAGAUGUUGGGUUAAGUCCCGCAACGAGCGCAACCCUUGUCACUAAUUGCCAGCAUUAAGUUGGGCACUUUAGUGAGACUGCCGGUGACAAACCGGA
rnacentral:rRNA from 1 species